UACGUAGGGUGCUAGCGUUGUUCGGAAUCAUUGGGCGUAAAGCGCGUGUAGGCUGUUAAUUAAGUCGGGUGUGAAAUCCCUGGGCUCAACCGAGGAAGUGCAUCCGAAACUAAUUAGCUAGAGAAUGGUAGAGGAAGGUGGAAUUCCUAGUGUAGAGGUGAAAUUCGUAGAUAUUAGGAGGAAUACCGGUGGCGAAGGCGGCCUUCUGGACCAUUUCUGACGCUGAGACGCGAAAGCGUGGGGAGCAAACAGG
rnacentral:rRNA from 1 species